UCAAGCAAUAAGGGCACAGGGCGGAUGCCUUGGCACUAAGAGCCGAUGAAAGACGUGAUAAGCUGCGAUAAGCUUCGGGGAGGAGCAAAUAUCCCGUGAUCCGGAGAUGUCUGAAUGGGGAAACCCACAUGAGCAAACCUCAUGUAUCCUACAGCCAAUACAUAACUGUAGGAAGGGAACCCGGGGAACUGAAACAUCUAAGUACCCGGAGGAAAAGAAAGAAAACUCGAUUCCGUAAGUAGCGGCGAGCGAACGCGGAGGAGCCUAAACCGGAAUGCGUGCAUUCCGGGGUUACGGACUGCAUUUAGGAUUCAGUGAUGUUAACAGAACGGUUUUGGGAAAGCCGGCCGGAGAGGGUGAAAGCCCCGUACGUGAAAGCUGAUGAGACUGAGCAGGAUCCAGAGUACCAUGAGACACGUGGAACCUUGUGGGAAAUCAGGGGGACCACCCCCUAAGGCUAAAUACUACUUAGUGACCGAUAGCGCAUAGUACUGUGAAGGAAAGGUGAAAAGGACCCCGGGAGGGGAGUGAAAGAGAACCUGAAACCCUGUGUCUACAAGCUGUGGGAGUGCUUUAUAUGCACGACCGCGUACUUUUUGUAGAACGGUCCGGCGAGUUACGCUUACUGGCAAGGUUAAGCACUUCAGGUGUGGAGCCGUAGGGAAACCAAGUCUUAAGAGGGCCUUAAGUCAGUAGGAGUAGACCCGAAACCGGGUGAUCUAUCCAUGUCCAGGUUGAAGCUGCCGUAAGAGGUAGUGGAGGACCGAACCCACAUCCGUUGAAAAGGGUGGGGAUGAGGUGUGGAUAGGGGAGAAAUUCCAAUCGAACCCGGAGAUAGCUGGUUCUCCUCGAAAUAGCUUUAGGGCUAGCCUCGAUACAGAUUUGCGGAGGUAGAGCACUGAAUUUCCUAGGGGGCGUCAAAGCCUACCGAAGAAUAUCAAACUCCGAAUGCCGCGUAAUCGAUUAUCGGGAGUCAGACUGCACGAGAUAAGUUGGGCGGUCAAAAGGGAAAGAGCCCAGACCUUCAGUUAAGGUCCCCAAGUGCGCGUUAAGUGGAAAAGGAUGUGGGAUUUCGAAGACAACCAGGAUGUUGGCUCAGAAGCAGCCAUCCAUUCAAAGAGUGCGUAAUAGCUCACUGGUCGAGAGGUCCUGCGCCGAAAAUGUCCGGGGCUGAAACGCGCCACCGAAACUAAGGAACCGAAAGGUUGGUAGAGGAGCAUUGCAUGCGGGAAGAAGCAGUACCGAAAGGAGCUGUGGACUGCAUGGAAGAGAGAAUGCCGGAAUGAGUAGCGAGAAUAAGGUGGGAAUCCUUAUGGCCGAAUAUCCAAGGUUUCCAGAGUAAAGCUGAUCUGCUCUGGGUAAGUCGGGGCCUAAGGCGAGGACGAGAGUCGUAGCCGAUGGACAACAGGUGGAGAUUCCUGUACUGCGGUAUGACAGAACUGUGGGGACACGUAAGGAAAGCGGAAGCCGGGAAUGGAAAGCCCGGUGCAAGCGGGGUACCAGCCACUUUGGCAAAUCCGGGUGGCAAUGGGAAGCCGUGAUGCGGAGCGAAAUAAAGUAGCGAAGUCCGUGAGCCAUGCGUCAAGAAAAGCCGCUAUCGUUUAUACCGUGCCCGUACCGUAAACCGACACAGGUGGAUGAGGAGAGAAUCCUAAGGCCGGCGGAAGAAGCAUUGUCAAGGAACUCGGCAAAAUGGCCCCGUAACUUAGGGAUAAGGGGUGCCUGGGAAACCAGGCCGCAGAGAAUAGGCUCAAGCAACUGUUUAGCAAAAACACAGGUCUAUGCGAAACCGAAAGGUGAGGUAUAUGGGCUGACGCCUGCCCGGUGCUGGAAGGUUAAGAGGAGAGGUUAGCGCAAGCGAAGCUUUGAAUUUAAGCCCCAGUAAACGGCGGCCGUAACUAUAACGGUCCUAAGGUAGCGAAAUUCCUUGUCGGGUAAGUUCCGACCCGCACGAAAGGCGUAAUGAUUUGAGCGCUGUCUCGACAAUGCAUCCGGUGAAAUUGAAGUACCAGUGAAGAUGCUGGUUACCUGCGCCAGGACGGAAAGACCCCAUGGAGCUUUACUCCAGUCUGGUACUGGGACUCGGUAUUGCAUGUACAGGAUAGGUGGGAGGCUAGGAGAUGGUAACGCCAGUUGCCAUGGAGCCGCUGUUGGGAUACCACCCUUGCAGUAUUGGGUUUCUAACCAGCCGCCGUGACCCGGCGGUGGGACAAUGCCAGACGGGGAGUUUGACUGGGGCGGUCGCCUCCGAAAGGGUAUCGGAGGCGCCCAAAGGUUCCCUCAGAAUGGACGGAAACCAUUCGAAGAGUGCAAAGGCAGAAGGGAGCUUGACUGCGACACCGACGG
rnacentral:rRNA from 1 species